rnacentral:rRNA from 1 species
UACGUAGGUGGCAAGCGUUGUCCGGAUUUACUGGGCGUAAGGCGCGCGCAGGCGGCUGGUCAAGUCCGAUGUGAAAGCUCCCGGCUUAACUGGGAAACGGCAUCGGAAACUGAUCGGCUUGAAGGUGGGAGAGGGUAGUGGAAUUCCCGGUGUAGUGGUGAAAUGCGUAGAUAUCGGGAGGAACACCAGUGGCGAAGGCGACUACCUGGCCCACUCUUGACGCUGAGGAGCGAAAGCCAGGGGAGCAAACGGG